AUUGAACGCUGGCGGCAGGCCUAACACAUGCAAGUCGAGCGGAUGAAGGGAGCUUGCUCCUGGAUUCAGCGGCGGACGGGUGAGUAAUGCCUAGGAAUCUGCCUGGUAGUGGGGGAUAACGUCCGGAAACGGGCGCUAAUACCGCAUACGUCCUGAGGGAGAAAGUGGGGGAUCUUCGGACCUCACGCUAUCAGAUGUGCCUAGGUCGGAUUAGCUAGUUGGUGGGGUAAAGGCCUACCAAGGCGACGAUCCGUAACUGGUCUGAGAGGAUGAUCAGUCACACUGGAACUGAGACACGGUCCAGACUCCUACGGGAGGCAGCAGUGGGGAAUAUUGGACAAUGGGCGAAAGCCGGAUCCAGCCAUGCCGCGUGUGGGAAGAAGGUCUUCGGAUUGUAAAGCACUUUAAGUUGGGAGGAAGGGCAGUAAGUUAAUACCUUGCUGUUUUGACGUUACCAACAGAAUAAGCACCGGCUAACUUCGUG
rnacentral:rRNA from 1 species